AUGCUAGGGUUCUAACGUUCAUGUGUUGGGCUCUCGACGAACAAUGCCGAGCGUCCCGUCCAUUGCUGAGGAGACCGUCUGCGAGAUCAAUCGCGAUUUCCUCACUCGCGCCCAGCAGCAGCAGCCGCAGCAGCAGGGCGGCGAUGUUUCAUCCAAGGCGCAUGAGCAGUACAACAAGGUCCUCAACAGAGUCUUCCCCAAGCUGCUGUUCAAGGUUGGAACGAUCCCGAUCGCCGACGACAAUGGCAGCAAUGGGAUUGCUGCGCAGAUGGAUAUUUCGGCGCCAGGAGGAUCUCUCGAGGGGGAGGAAGAGGAUCUGGUUAGGGCGACUGCAGCAGCGGUGGAAGAAACCCUAGACGAGGCCCUCGGCGAGCCUCUGUCGGCGCUCCAGCGCCUCGGAUCUCUCUUCUACAGGGGCGAGAAGCGCGAUUCCAGCAGCGCCAGGCCGAAAUUUCUCCAGUCCAUGGCCUGGCACAAGCACAAGCUCCUCCUCGCAUUCGUCGCCAAUCCAGCGCACGUCCUAGUGGUGGAUUACGACGACGCCGACGCCAAGAAUCCCUUUCUUCUUGGCCAUGAAACCCAGCAGCGCGGCGUGGAAGCGAUCGAGUGGAGACCAAACUCGGGCUCGAUUCUGGCCGUUGGAUGCCGCGGUGGAGUUUGCCUGUGGACGGCAUCCGGUGCCACGCCACCUUUGAGGACCGGGGCUGUGGUGCCUCUCGUCUCAGCGGCUACGAAAUGGAGCCUGGUGGAUUUUUUGCGCUGGGGGAUCGAUAUGCCCGUCUCGGCUCUCUCGUGGAGCCCCUGUGGAAGGCUCUUGGCGUGUGGAUCGAGCGAGACGCCGACUUUCGCAGUGUGGGACGUCUCUCUCGGGGAGAGCACGCCUCUGCGACGAGGAAUGGCCGGCGUCCAGUUCAUGAAGUGGUCGCCGCUGGGGGACUACUUGCUCACGGCCAAAGUUGACGCGUCGUUUCAUCUCUGGGAGACCAUGACUUGGACGUCCGAGCCGUGGGCCUCGGCUGGUGGAGCUCUCGUGGGCGCGGCGUGGAGUCCCGAUGGCCGGAUGAUCAUGGGUGCUUUUGAUCAGAGCAGCACGCUCGGGACUUUACACUUUGCUGGGAAGCCUCCGUCGCUGGAGGUGCAUUUGCUGCCUUUGGGACUCUCGGAGAUAGAAGCGGUUUGUGGACCCGGAGGAAGCAUUGAGAGGAUGGCUUGGGAUGGAACAGGGGAAAGGUUGGCGGUGUCGUAUACAGGUGGUGAUGCUGUAUACUCUGGUUUGAUCGCCAUCUACGACACGAGGAGAACACCGAUCAUAUCAGCCUCGUUGCUGGGAUUUGUGAGAGGUCCAGGUGCUGGUGCGAAGCCUCUGGCUUUCGCGUUUCAUGAUAAGCUCCGGCAGGGAGCUUUACUGGGCGUUUGCUGGAGCACGGGCUUCAUCUGCGUCUAUCCUAUGCUCUUCAGGACGGGCAUGUAGAGUCGUAUAUCAUCGAGCGAAGAUAUGAAGGGAGAGAGCAGAGAGGAGAUCUUUGCUUUGGGAUUUAUCCCGUAGAACAUCUUGGUGAAUGGAGAGCCGAUGGAGUUUUCAGAAGGAGGCGGUGGCGUUGGUGGCGGACAUAGCUGAGGUGGCGGCGCUGGCGGCGGCGGUACUGGUGCAGUAAACGCGCUCUUUACUGUCGGUGCGAACAGCGGAGCAGUGGCUGGUCUGGCCAACUUCGGAGAGCUGACGUUGGUGACGACGGACGAGGGAUUCAAGUCGAUUGCGUCGAGAGCACAUUUCACGUCCACCUUCUCGCAGUAGCAACCUCCAGGACAUAACUCCGUGGAACCGGAGCUAUGGUCGGAACGGGGCUCUUGACGACCAGAGGCUCCGCCGGAUUCACCUCUUGGUCUUGCAAGGCAUCGAAGAUAUGGGUGAUGAGAGGGCCAGCACCGAAGACAACAGUGUUGUUCGCCUUCUGCUUCAUCCUCCGCAGCUCCUUGAGGAUGUUCUGGAACAUAUACUCGGACCAGUUCACCUUGAAUCCUUGCAAGCCUUGGGCGAUGAUCUCGACCAAGUUCCGGGACGUGUAGCCGGAGCUCACUCUCAGCUGUAUCACCUCCGCGAUCAACGAGAAGAUUGGUGCCAGCGAAGGGUCCACCAGCUUGUCGUGCCUGUAUCCCAAGUCCUUUUGGUAAGCGCCUUCCUUGAAGAGCAUCACCUGGUCGCUGUUCUCAAACGAUCGCUUGAAGCUGAGGACGCCCUCGUAGGAGAGCUUGAAGCGCUGGGAGAUGAGGUUGUAGUUGGCCACGAACUCCCGGACAAGCGAGACGCAGGUGACGUUCCACUUGACAUCCGCGAGGCUGUGGAGGCCGAGAGUGGUGAGGAAGUCCAUCCGGGGGCAGCCUUGCUCGAGCCAGUAGGAGGCGGCAAUGUAAGUCCGGAACUUCAGAUUUUUAGCUACUGCGUACCCAAUGACAUCGGCAGAAGUGGAAGAAGAAGAAGACGGUGGUGGUGUGGCCGUGAGUGUGGGAGCCGCCGCCGGCAGCGGAAGGACUAGAACUCCCCUCGUCCUGAGCUUCUUCUUGGCGGCGCCGUCUUCCUCCUCGUCACUGGCGGCGCUGGCGGCAAGCGGCGGCGGCGGCGGUCGCUUUGGAGGCAUGGAAACAAGGAUGUGAACGGAGGAAGCCACUCACUCGCAAACAAGCUAUGUGGAUUCCUUGAAAAGCUCUUGCGGCGAAUCAACGAUGUGAGCCGAGGAAGCUACUCACUCGCAAACAAGCUACCGCUCAAAGAUCUACAUCCUCAGAGCAUUGUAAUAAUUUCUUUUCCCAGGAAACAAGGAGACUUCCUUCCAGGGA